rnacentral:rRNA from 1 species
UACGUAGGGUGCAAGCGUUGUCCGGAAUUAUUGGGCGUAAAGAGCUCGCAGGCGGUCUGUCGCGUCGGCUGUGAAAACUCGGGGCUCAACUCCGAGCUUGCAGUCGAUACGGGCAGGCUAGAGUUCGGCAGGGGAGACUGGAAUUCCUGGUGUAGCGGUGAAAUGCGCAGAUAUCAGGAGGAACACCGGUGGCGAAGGCGGUUCUCUGGGCAUUACCUGACGCUGAGGAGCGAAAGUGUGGGGAGCGAACAGG